rnacentral:rRNA from 1 species
UACGAAGGGGGCUAGCGUUGUUCGGAUUUACUGGGCGUAAAGCGCGCGUAGGCGGCUCACUAAGUCAGGGGUGAAAUCCCGAGGCUUAACCUCGGAACUGCCUUUGAUACUGGUGAUCUGGAGAUCGGGAGAGGUUGGUGGAAUUCCGAGUGUAGAGGUGAAAUUCGUAGAUAUUCGGAGGAACACCAGAAGCGAAGGCGGCCAACUGGCCCGAUACUGACGCUGAGGCGCGAAAGCGUGGGGAGCAAACAGG